GAUGAACGCUGGCGGCGUGCCUAAUACAUGCAAGUCGAGCGAACAGAUGAGGAGCUUGCUCCUCUGACUUUAGCGGCGGACGGGUGAGUAACACGUGGAUAACCUACCUAUAAGACUGGGAUAACUUCGGGACACCGGAGCUAAUACCGGAUAAUAUAUUGAACCGCAUGGUUCAAUAGUAAAAUACGGUUUUGCUGUCACUUAUAGAUGGAUCCGCGCCGCAUUAGCUAGUUGGUAAGGUAACGGCUUACCAAGGCAACGAUGCGUAGCCGACCUGAGAGGGUGACCGGCAACAUUGGAACUGAGACCCGGUCCAGACUCCUACGGGAGGCAGCAGUAGGGAACCUUCCGCAAUGGGCGAAAGCCUGACGGAGCAACGCGGCGUGAGUGAUGAAGGUCUUCGGAUCGUAAAACUCUGUUAUUAGGGAAGAACAAAUGUGUACGUAAAUAUGCACGUCUUGACGGUACCUAAUCAGAAAGCCACGGCUAACUACGUG
rnacentral:rRNA from 1 species